rnacentral:rRNA from 1 species
UACAGAGGUCUUGAGCGUUGUUCGGAUUCAUUGGGCGUAAAGGGCGCGUAGGCGGCGGGGCAAGUCGGGUGUGAAAUCUCAGAGCUCAGCUCUGAAACUGCACUCGAUACUGCUUUGCUUGAGGACUGGAGAGGAGAUUGGAAUUCACGGUGUAGCAGUGAAAUGCGUAGAUAUCGUGAGGAAGACCAGUGGCGAAGGCGGAUCUCUGGACAGUUCCUGGCGCUGAGGCGCGAAGGCCAGGGGAGCAAACGGG